rnacentral:rRNA from 1 species
GAUGAACGCUGGCGGCGUGCUUAACACAUGCAAGUCGAACGAGAAAUGGAGACGGAAACCUUCGGGCGGAAGGCUUCAUUUCGAGUGGCGGACGGGUGAGUAACGCGUGGGUAACCUGCCUCAUACAGGGGGAUAACAGUUGGAAACGACUGUUAAUACCGCAUAAGACCACAGCACCGCAUGGUGCGGGGGUAAAAACUCCGGUGGUAUGAGAUGGACCCGCGUUCGAUUAGCCAGUUGGCGGGGUAACGGCCCACCAAAGCGACGAUCGAUAGCCGAUCUGAGAGGAUGACCGGCCACAUUGGGACUGAGACACGGCCCAAACUCCUACGGGAGGCAGCAGUGGGGAAUAUUGCACAAUGGGGGAAACCCUGAUGCAGCGACGCCGCGUGAGUGAAGAAGUACUUCGGUAUGUAAAGCUCUAUCAGCAGGGAAGAAAAUGACGGUACCCGAGUAAGAAGCCCCGGCUAACUACGUG